rnacentral:rRNA from 1 species
AGUGGCGCACGGCUGAGGAUCACGUGGGAACAUGCCUCCUUGUGGGGGACAACAGCGCGAAAGCGCUGCUAAUCCCGCAUACGCUCUUGAAUAGAGAGGAAAGCGUGCAAACGCGCAGGGAGAGUGGCCCGCGGCCCAUCAGGUCGUAGGUGGGGUAACGGCCUACCUAGCCGAUGACGGGUAGCUGGUCUGUGAGGACAGACAGCCAGACUGGGACUGAGACACGGCCCAGACUCCUACGGAAGGCAGCAGCAAGGAAUUUUCGUCAAUGGGCGCAAGCCUGAACGAGCAACGCCGCGUGGUGGAUGACGGCCUUCGGGUUGUAAACACCUUUUUCGGGGGACGAUGAUGACGGUACCCCGGGAAUAAGGCUCGGCUAGCUCUGUGCCAGCAGCCGCGGUAAUACAGAGGAGCCAAGCGUUGUCCGGAUUGACUGGGCGUAAAGCGCACGCAGGCGGUCGCGCGCGUGGGGUGUGAAAUCUGGCCGCUUAACGGCCAGGCGCCAUCCCAUACGGCGCGACUGGAGUGAUGCAGAGGUCGAUGGAAUUGCCGGUGUAGUGGUGAAAUGCGUAGAGAUCGGCAGGAACACCCAGGGGGAAACCAGUCGACUGGGCAUCUAC